ACCUAUACCACUUAAUAUGUUGGCCAAAGAAUUUUCUAAUUUUUUUUUUUUACCUUUAGUGUACUAGUAUACCCUAGUUAAAACCUUAUGCACAUAUCAUUGUAACCAUCCGAAUAUAUAAUUCUAACCACAACCCCAUAAUAAUUACUAAUUUUCAUAAUUAUACAAAAUGUUGCAAUCUAAUAAAAUGCUAGAAAUAAACAAAUGAGACAUGGAAUAAAUACACUAGUGUAUCUGCAAAUAAUAAACUGAUUGAUUGAAUCUAAAACAACAGCAAUAGUAUGGUUAAUUUACUUGUAUGUAGAAUCUAUACAUCUGCACAUGACCAUUAAUGAAAAGAGAGCCCAACGUCACCCACCCACAAAACUGUCAAAAUAUGUCUUAGACAAAUAUUUUACAACCUAUUUAUGGCAAUCUGUGUCUCUUUACUUGAAGUCCAUACAGACUGGGCUCUAAGACAAUUUGUGAUCACUGAUAUUAUUAUAAUUAAUUAUUUAUUACUCAAUUGUCACACAAGUAACUUUUUAAUAUCACCCUAAAAAAAAUCUCCAAUUUAAUUAAUUAUAAGAUUUCAUUAAGAUGAAUAUCAUAAUAUCUCUUAGUACUCUUGUAGAUAAGCCGAAUAUAAUAAUAUUCAUGGAUAAGAAUCAUUUACUGUGUUGCUGCAGAUUGUUAAUAACUGUUCUAUACUAAAUAGGCUGAAGGCAUGUUGUCAACGCUUGAAUAGUUAAAUAGGUUUUCAAACAUAACUACAAAUUUAUUUUUCAAGAAAUCUAUCAAUCCAAUUUCUUAAAAGAUUUAAAAAAAAUUAUAUUAAGUACAUACAGUAAUCUACAUAAUGAUAUAUCUAAGCAAAUCCUAUCUGAAAAUAUUGUAAUAGCUGUCUCAAAACUUGUUAUCAGGUACCUACAUCAAGGCCCAAAAUAAUACUUGAACCAUUACAUAAAACUUCAUAUAUUUUUAAUUUUUAUGUUAUUCAGUCAUAAAAACUCACAUAUAACAAAUGUAUAGUUUGAAGUUACAGGCACA
rnacentral:lncRNA from 1 species